UUGCAUCUCUUGAUAGACCAUAAGCUGCAUUCUAUUGCCUUAUGGUUUGCACUAAGAUGCUAUAGAAACCUCCUUGCGCUUUCUGUUUGGCAGACUCUGUUGCUUGAGCAGUUUGAAUAGAGGAGUACACUA